CACGUAGGCACCAAGCGUUGUCCGGAAUUAUUGGGCGUAAAGAGCUCGUAGGCGGUCUGUCGCGUCGAAUGUGAAAACCCGGGGCUCAACUCCGGGCUUGCAUUCGAUACGGGCAGGCUAGAGUUCGGUAGGGGAGUCUGGAAUUCCUGGUGUAGCGGUGAAAUGCGCAGAUAUCAGGAGGAACACCGGUGGCGAAGGCGGCCUGCUGGGCUGUUGCUGACGCUGAGGCGCGACAGCGUGGGGAGCAAACAGG
rnacentral:rRNA from 1 species